CUCAGCCUUUGAUAGAGCUUGAAAGGAGAUACUGGAUGUGCUUUUCUAGUUCAGCUCUCUAGCAUCUACUCGAGAGCACCAUGUUCUGUACUUGUUCCACUCUCUCCACAGUGUGUAAUAUAGACUGAAGAAUCUAAACCAUGUUUUGACUCUGACAUUUGCUGCUUUUUAUAAGCAAGAAGUUAAACUCUCCCUGAGCCCUUCCUCUGAUACAGUGGAUGAAAUCCAGGUGUUCCUGACAAGGACCAAGAGGGAUCAUCUACCAGGAUGGAGCAUGCUGCUGCCAGGUUUCUGAGAAAGCAAGGCACUGUACCAGCCUGCUGGCCACUGUGGUGAGCUGGGAUAAGACACCAAGCACAAGAAGUGCUGCUGUGGCAUGAUGACCCUCAUGCUAAAGAGUGAGAAUUUUCCAGGCACUGGAGAAUGGCUGCUCCAGAAAACAAAGGUAAAUCCCCAUCUCCCUGCUCCAGCAGACAUCCCUGCUGUGCAUGCUGCAUGCAGAGGAUGCAUUGCAUUAUUUCCCCAGGGGCAGUGGAAUACUCCAUGCUCAGAGAUCGUUUUACUCUGAUUUCAGUAGCAUUAAUUCCUCAUCUAAUUUUCCUUGGACCUCCAGACAGCAUGGUGCCUGGUGCCUGGUGCCUGGACAGCUCUGCCUGCAAGGAUGCUAACAGAAUUAAGGUUCCCCAGCAAGUGGCCCGACGGCUCUGCCUGCAGCAGGUACAUCCCAUCCCACAGCCCCGUUCAGCUGGGUGAGGGGCUGCCCAUUGUCUCAAAGAUAGGUAUGAGAAGCUGACAUCCAUUGUCUGAGAGAGGAAUGUGAGGAGCUGCAGUAAGACUCCACAGUCCAGACUCUCCACAAUUACCUCAAGGAUUAGUGUGUGGAAUUGCCCUUAUCUCCAUGAUUGCUGGUUGCAGUUGAAGAGCUGGCUGCAAGACCAACGAAAGUGGAUGCACGUGAUCCAUCAGGAAUGUGCUGUACUUGAUAUUAAGAACAGAGGUAUUCUCCCCAUGCAUAAUUAAAAGGCAGAAAAGGUAAUCACUAUGUGGGCACCCACCUCUGAUGACAACUACUGACUCUGGCGGACACCCACCACCGAAGAUGAUGACUUGGGAGAGUGGUGACUGGCUUUCUCUGCACCCUCAAUUCUUGCUUAAUUUUUGCCCUUUCAUCCAGUCUGUCCCAUUGCUGUCUUUUCUAUAAUAGGGUUUUUUUGCAAUAAACUGCUGGAUUAUGGUACUUGACCUCA
rnacentral:lncRNA from 14 species